UAACAAUGUACAGGGAUACUGGAGUGAUGGAGGUAGAUAUGUAUAGGGGGAAGGAGACAGGGAUACUGGAGUGAUGGAGGUAGAUAUGUAUAGGGGGAAGGAGACAGGGAUACUGGAGUGAUGGAGGUAGAUAUGUAUAGGGGGAAGGAGACAGGGAUACUGGAGUGAUGGAGGUAGAUAUGUAUAGGGGGAAGGAGACAGGGAUACUGGAGUGAUGGAGGUAGAUAUGUAUAGGGGUAAGGAGACAGGGAUACUGGAGUGAUGGAGGUAGAUAUGUAUAGGGGGAAGGAGACAGGGAUACUGGAGUGAUGGAGGUAGAUAUGUAUAGGGGGAAGGAGACAGGGAUACUGGAGUGAUGGAGAUAGAUAUGUAUAGGGGGAAGGAGACAGGGAUACUGGAGUGAUGGAGGUAGAUAUGUAUAGGAGGGA